UUGCAGCUGACCACAGCCUUACCAGAUGCCUUAAUAGGAAGCUGUUAAUAGACUAUGGGAAACUGUUAAUAAAAAGGUGGAGAAUUUUAAGAAGAUACUGAGUGGUCAUGCAGGCAGCUACACCACCAGCGCCAAGCUAAGCUGCCAAGCCUGAAACUCACUAGUACAAACCAGUUUUCAUUUAAUUUUCAGCUUUCAUAAAAGCAUUAUGUCAGACUUCUGUACGCUGCUCAGGGGAACAGGAAACUAUUGCAACAUCUAUCUCAUACCAAAAGCAGUGAGCAAAAUCAACUACAUGUCUCAGGAUGUGUCCAGCAACCCAGGAAAGCUCCCAAAGGACUAACUCCUUUCAAAUGGCACAAAAUUUUAAAGAAAGCCGAACAAUCAUCUGCAAGACCUCUCUCAGUCUUUCCCAUUCCACCAGGUGGUGCAGAGGGCUCUGCCCUACCUGAAAGCAAAGGCUGUGGAGAAGCUGCUGCUGGCAGUGGGGCUGAUGGCAUGCAGUCUCUGGGCCCAGGCCCCAGAUGAGGUGGCAUGUGGCAGCAGUUUUGUGACAGCCUUGGGAUUAUUUGCCCCCACUGGGCACCUCUCUCCCCUCAGUGUGGCUACCACUCCCUCAGGGCUGCAGUUUCAGUAGUUACCAGCUGUGAAAGGCCAUACCCGUUUAUACGUUGUUUGUUUGCCAUUUAUUGCAUGUGUUCCUUUGUAAGGGUGCAGCUUGGCAGCAUAGGAGGCUGCGGGCUCACCUUGUCCUUGCUGGAAGGACAUGAAGAUCCAGAAGGAGCACUGAGCCUUUCCCAGGCAAUCAUGCAGAGGAUUGUGUGUGUGAUGGGGGGAGUGGUGCAAGGAAAUGACCAAGUGAGGAGUGAGCCCUCUGGAGCAGCAAAGCUUGCCAGCCCAUGGGAGAGAGGAGAAAACAGGUAUACAGCCAGGUGCCUCAGAAGGGAAAGGAGACGGACACGGAAGCCUGGCUGGGGCAGCACCCAGUCUGCUGCAAGCCAGCCAGCCCCUGAGCUGGUGAACUGGAACCAGCCUGGGAGAAAGGACAUGACCAUGGAGUCAGGCCUUUAA
rnacentral:lncRNA from 1 species